AUAAUUUCAAAUGCUAAUAUCUCAUUUUUCUCUCCAUGGAUAAAAAGAGAGUUCCACUUUUCCUCCAUCUCCUCCAUGAAGACGGGAAAACCGAUCUUGGCCUGUGUUAUCAAUACAUGCUGUCACCAAAAUUUCAAGCUUUCUUGCAACGGACUUCACAAUCGUGUUUAUGGCGCCGGAAGAAGAGAAGACGACUCGCCGUUCUCCUCUUGAUUUCCCCAUUGUGAGCUUUCAUCGUUUGUCAGUUUUAGUGGGAAUCAGACUAUGCCAAAGACGCAAUUACUCUGCCUGCAAGUUACAGUAGUGGACCUGCAUCAUAUCCCCUCACUUGUUAGCCAUGUUGGUUAACUGCAUCAUAUGGUGCAACUGCCAUGAUAAGGAAGAAGUAGGAAUCAAGAUGGCACUAUUUUUGUUCAUUACACUAGGAAAAUUGGUGGAAUUAAUGCAGAUGUUGAACAAGUGGAGAACCAACGAAAUGUAUUGGGUUUACCUCCUCAUAUGUCUGAUGCUCGUACCAUCAAUAGGAAAUCAGGGUAUUUUUUCCGUUUCAAGGAACGUAAAAUUAAAAGAUUAAAACUGAUUUUAGCCUAUUAUUUUGAUUGUAUCCGAACUAAUGUGUUUAGAAUAUUUGAUCCCA